AGUGAACGCUGGCGGUAGGCCUAACACAUGCAAGUCGAACGGCAGCACAGUAAGAGCUUGCUCUUACGGGUGGCGAGUGGCGGACGGGUGAGGAAUACAUCGGAAUCUACUUUUUCGUGGGGGAUAACGUAGGGAAACUUACGCUAAUACCGCAUACGACCUACGGGUGAAAGCAGUGGAUCUUCGGACCUUGCGCGACUGAAUGAGCCGAUGUCGGAUUAGCUAGUUGGCGUGGUAAAGGCCCACCAAGGCGACGAUCCGUAGCUGGUCUGAGAGGAUGAUCAGCCACACUGGAACUGAGACACGGUCCAGACUCCUACGGGAGGCAGCAGUGGGGAAUAUUGGACAAUGGGCGCAAGCCUGAUCCAGCCAUACCGCGUGGGUGAAGAAGGCCUUCGGGUUGUAAAGCCCUUUUGUUGGGAAAGAAAAGCAGCAGGUUAAUACCCCGCUGUUCUGACGGUACCCAAAGAAUAAGCACCGGCUAACUUCGUG
rnacentral:rRNA from 1 species